AAGUUUAAAUGACCAUUGUGUACUAUCAUCAGCCUCAGUGACAGAUGAUGCUUUUGGUUUGGCUGGUUUUGGCGGAGCUAAAGAUGGGACAAUUGGUGCAACUUGUUUGUUAGAUUUGAGAGGAGAUGAGGAAGGUAAGGAUGGGACAGAUGCUGCAUUUGGUUUAACCGCGUUGGGGGCUGGGGCUGGAGGUAAGCACGGGGGAACUUUUCCUUCCAACACGUGAACACCGAGUGCAUCAAGAAACAUCCCUCUCCUCCCAUGAAAACCAACAAUCAUCCCGUCACUCAGUUUUGUUGAGAAUUGUUGUCCUUGUUCUUCUCCAUAAGGUCCAUGUUUACGUUUCGUGGUAUGAAAAGUUAACGAAUGUAUAAUAUUCGGUCCCAUAAUCAUGGUUGGUCCAUAGUAGCCUGUAAUGUGAGUCAAAAUCUCUGAUGGAUAAUCAAAUAUUAUCUUUUCGGUUUUGAAACCUCCAGUACCACCAUUUUUACUUCCCCAUAUUGCUUGUCCAUUUUUGUCGUAGCAAGCUCUUACUGAAACGAUCCCCACGUUACGUGACAAGUAUACUUGCCUAAUACCAUCAUAGAUACCAUCAUCAAAGACAUUCCCUCCACUUCCACCCCAUGGACAAUAUGUCACAACACCCUUGACAGUUUUCGAUGGGACUCUUUCG
rnacentral:misc_RNA from 1 species